CACUUCAACUACAAAGUGAGGAAAAUAUUUUUAUGAAUUUGAUGCUUGAAUCAGUAUGAGUGAAAAAUAAUCUACCAAGUGGGCAGAAGAAGGGUUUUGUAAAUAGCACUAUACAUUGUUGCCAAACUCUGAGAUACAUCUUCAGAUGACAAACUACUUCAGGAGGCUAAAGAUGAAACACAUGUUUGCCUACUGGUUGGGCAAACAGACAAUGAGGACCAUCUGUUAAUUACCACCAGAAGACCUGGAGAGAGAAGAAACAAGUGAAACUGCCCAAGGUGGGGACUUCUGGAGUCCAUUAGAUGAGGCACGUGGAGCCCUCAGGAACAGGAUUGUGGCUUCAGAAGAACUUCCUCACCCCUCUUCAAAAAGAACUUCCUCACCCCUUCUCACUCCUCCCCACCAGUGAGAAAACCAGGAAAUGGACUUCACCGGAAUAAGACUAUGUGGCACAUGGAUGUCAGACUUUCAGCCUCCUAAACUGGGAGAAAGAAAGAAUGACUUCCAUCCUGGUUCUGCUGAGAACUUGAAAAACUAGAAGAAUCAACAAAUGAUGGCAACAUGUCUCUCUUCAUUUUCCCACUACCACAAUAUUUUGCUUCCUGCCUCUUGAGCUUUCUUAUACACAUUGGCAAGUUAUUUGGUCCCUGCUUCUUCACACAAUUUUCCUUGUACUUAAACAAAUACAGGAAAGCUGGGUUAUAAAAAUUGGACACUGACUUCACAACCCACAAAACAACUUUUGUUAAACCAAAUCAGCAAUAAUAGUGUUUUGAUAGAUCUUUUGUCAUUUGAGUUCUACAUCUAUUUUAAGUAACAGCAUCAGUAAUCAAAAAUAGGUAGUCAAUUAGGAGAGAGUCUAAUGGGGCACCUCAUGGGUACCUCACGUUGGUUGGGGGAGGAAAUGGGCUGGCUUGGUCUUAAACAUUUGAACUUUUUGUUCCCGAAGUAUCCCAAUGGCAGAUGUGAGGAACUGAACGUGCUUCCCCCAAAGUCAUAAGAUGAAAUCCCAACACUGAUGUGAUAGUAUCAGAAAGUGGAGUCUUUGGAAGAUGAUUAUUACAGCCAGCUCUCAUGAAUUAGGGCCUUUAUAGGAACAGCUGAAAAAACCUGCCUCCUCUCCUCCCCACCACGUGAGGAUAAGAAAAGAUAAGGAUCUGUAAACCAGGAAGCAGGCCCUCAUCACACAGGGUUUGCUGGUACCUUGGUCUUAGACUUCCCAGGCUCCAAAACUGUGAAAAAUAAAUGUUUGCUGUUUAAGUCACCCAUUCUAUGAUAAUUUGUUGUAGCAGUUUGAACAGACUAAGACAGCAGAAAAGGAUCUUAUUAAAUUCAGUCCGUUGGCAGGUGGAAAAGCAUCAGACUAAUUACACCCAAAGGAUAAAGCACUGGUCUAUUGGCUCAACCAGAAAUAUUACUGAAACUCAGAAGCAGAAAAUUUAUUAGUGUGUUAAGAAUAAAUUAGCAAACGUAUGACCUAGAAUAUGACAUUUUAACCAUGCCAGACGGCAUGACCUCCAUUUGGAACCAAAGCAAUUAU